UACGGAGGGAGCAAGCGUUACUCGGAAUUAUUGGGCGUAAAGCGCGCGCAGGUGGUUUCUUAAGUCUGAUGUGAAAGCCCACGGCUCAACCGUGGAGGGUCAUUGGAAACUGGGGAACUUGAGUGCAGAAGAGGAAAGUGGAAUUCCAAGUGUAGCGGUGAAAUGCGUAGAGAUUUGGAGGAACACCAGUGGCGAAGGCGACUUUCUGGUCUGUAACUGACACUGAGGCGCGAAAGCGUGGGGAGCGAACAGG
rnacentral:rRNA from 1 species